UACGUAGGGUGCAAGCAUUAAUCGGAUUUAUUGGGCGUAAAGGGCGCGUAGGCGGGAAUGCCAGUCAGAUGUGAAAUCCCGGGGCUCAACCUCGGAACAGCAUUUGAAACUACAUUUCUAGAGGGUAGACGGAGAAAACGGAAUUCCACAAGUAGCGGUGAAAUGCGUAGAUAUGUGGAAGAACACCAGUGGCGAAGGCGGUUUUCUAGUUUAUACCUGACGCUGAUGCGCGAAAGCAAGGGGAGCAAACAGG
rnacentral:rRNA from 1 species